rnacentral:rRNA from 1 species
GCCCUACGGGCGGCAGCAGUGGGGAAUUUUGGACAAUGGGCGCAAGCCUGAUCCAGCAAUGCCGCGUGCAGGAAGAAGGCCUUCGGGUUGUAAACUGCUUUUGUACGGAACGAAACGGUCCUGGUUAAUACCUGGGGCUAAUGACGGUACCGUAAGAAUAAGCACCGGCUAACUACGUGCCAGCAGCCGCGGUAAUACGUAGGGUGCAAGCGUUAAUCGGAAUUACUGGGCGUAAAGCGUGCGCAGGCGGUUUUGUAAGACAGGCGUGAAAUCCCCGGGCUCAACCUGGGAAUUGCGCUUGUGACUGCAAGGCUGGAGUGCGGCAGAGGGGGAUGGAAUUCCACGUGUAGCAGUGAAAUGCGUAGAGAUGUGGAGGAACACCGAUGGCGAAGGCAGCCCCCUGGGAUGACACUGACGCUCAUGUACGAAAGCGUGGGUAGCAAACAGGAUUAGAUACCCCUGUAGUCCA